rnacentral:rRNA from 1 species
GGAAUAUUGCACAAUGGGGGAAACCCUGAUGCAGCAACGCCGCGUGAAGGAUGAAGGUCUUCGGAUCGUAAACUUCUGUCCUUGGGGAAGAACAAAUGACGGUACCCUUGGAGGAAGCCCCGGCUAACUACGUGCCAGCAGCCGCGGUAAUACGUAGGGGGCAAGCGUUAUCCGGAAUUAUUGGGCGUAAAGAGUGCGUAGGUGGUUACCUAAGCGCAGGGUUUAAGGCAAUGGCUCAACCAUUGUUCGCCCUGCGAACUGGGCAACUUGAGUGCAGGAGAGGAAAGUGGAAUUCCUAGUGUAGCGGUGGAAUGCGUAGAUAUUAGGAGGAACACCAGUGGCGAAGGCGACUUUCUGGACUGUAACUGACACUGAGGCACGAAAGCGUGGGGAGCAAACA